CAGUCGCCGCGGUAAUACGUAGGGUGCAAGCGUUAAUCGGAAUUACUGGGCGUAAAGCGUGCGCAGGCGGUUUGUUAAGUCUGCUGUGAAAUCCCCGGGCUCAACCUGGGAAUGGCAGUGGAUACUGGCUCGCUAGAGUGUGUCAGAGGAUGGUGGAAUUCCCGGUGUAGCGGUGAAAUGCGUAGAGAUCGGGAGGAACAUCAGUGGCGAAGGCGGCCAUCUGGGACAACACUGACGCUGAGGCACGAAAGCGUGGGGAGCAAACAGGAUUAGAUACCCCGGUAGUCCCUGUCUCUUAUAC
rnacentral:rRNA from 1 species